GGAGUUGGGAGAGGAGUAAGGAAGAUAGGUGGGAAAGGGACAGUUUAGACACAAGAUGGGGAACUGAGAAAAGUUAGAGGAGUCAGGGGAGGAGAAAGGAAAGAAGCAAGGAGAGAGUCGUAGUGGGAGAAGAAGAAGCUGGAGACUCGGCAAAUAAAAGCCUGCUUUGAGCUCCUGGAGCUAUGCCAUACUUCUUUGCUGUGAGGAUUUUCUCCUUCUGGAAACUUAAGCAAAUGACAUGAAUGGGAGACAAGUUGCUGACCUUGCUAUAAGAACAUCACUGGAACACCAAGUCAGAAAGCAAGUGGAAGAACAUUCAUUCAUGGAACAUGGUCCUCUCAUUCAGACUCUUCCCUUCACUACUAAAGAAAGACAAGCAAGGUUUCAGAUUCUUCUCAUUCCCUGUUUCUGUAAGUAACAUCACUUUCGGGGCUGGAGAGAUGGCCCAGUGGUUAGGAAUGCUUGCUUGUUGACUUGCUAAGGCAUAAAGUUUGGUUCCUGGCACCCAUGUCCGGGAGCUCAUAAUUAUCUUUAUCUCCAGCUCCCAAGGAUCUCAUGCCCUCUUUUGGCCUUCACAGACACUUGCACACAUGUGCACAUAUACACAAAGAGAUACAGAAGCAUGAAUAAAACUAAAAGAACUCCUUUAAAGUAUAAAUUAGCCUUCACAAAAUUCAAAGUACCUUUAGAUUCAGGACAAAUACAUUUAUUCGAUGUUUUAAUUAUAAGAAUUUUUGUAAUAAAUAUUGAAAAAUAAACAUUCAAAAUAUAAACCUGUUUUUCAUCAAAUUUGUUAAGGCUGAAUUAAAUGUUUAAAGCAGACAACUUUAAAAGAGUAAACUAUUUAUUAAGGAACACACAGAAAAAUUACCUAAGUUGUACCUCUUUAAGAAUGUUAAUUUGUGGGCUGGGAAGAUGGCUCGUUGAUUAAGGUUGAUGAAUGCUCUUCCAGAGGUCCUGAGUUCAAUUCCCACAACUACAUGGUGGCUCACAACCAUCUGUAAUAUCUGAUGGCCUCUUCUGGUGUGUCUGAAGACAGUGACAGUGUACUCAUAUACAUAAAAUAAACAAAUCUUUUUUUAAAAAGUAAAAAAAUAAAAUUUAAGCAAGCUCCAGUUAAAUGUCGUUCUUAUAAAGAAAAAAACAGAAUUAAUUUGCUUGGCUGGAGAGAUGGCUUAUAGUUAGGAUAUGAGUUCUGUUUCCAGCAUCCACAUGGAUAGCUCAUGCUCAGUGUUACAUUACAUGCUGACUCAAUCUUUGUUCUUUCAUUGAGAGAAUUAUGUCCACAGGCAUGUCAUACGUAGUGACUCUUGUGCAGUUGUUGAUCUUGUGCUAUGGCCAAUAGUUCAUGACAACAUGAAGCACAGGAAAUAUUAAAAUAGAACCAUUGUUUGUUAAUUUUUUUAUCAUCAGGCUAAGACUUUACAUGUGCUACAUGAUCAACUUCUUAUACAUGCAGGAAACUUGAUUUGAAAGGACCAGAUUUGUGGUCAAACUAUAGAAUCCUACAGACCACACGGGUGUUCUAUAAACGUUUUCUAUUUAUAAACAAAAUGUAGGAGGAGAUUAUUUUUGUCAUGACAGAACACACAGGUACACACAAUUUAUCCCAGUUACCCAGGUUCUGAAGAACCCUUGAGAGACCCUUGGUCUGUGAAGACUUGAUUCCCCAGUGUAGGGGAAUGCAAGGGCAGUGAGGUAGGAGUGGGUGGCUAGGUAGGAGAGCACCCUCAUAG